UACGGAGGGUGCAAGCGUUAAUCGGAUUUACUGGGCGUAAAGCGUGCGCAGGCGGCCCGUUAAGACAGGUGUGAAAUCCCUGGGCUCAACCUAGGAAUUGCGCUUGUGACUGGCGGGCUCGAGUACGGUAGAGGGGGGUGGAAUUCCUGGUGUAGCAGUGAAAUGCGUAGAGAUCAGGAGGAACACCGAUGGCGAAGGCGGCCUCCUGGGCCUGCACUGACGCUGAGGCGCGAAAGCGUGGGGAGCAAACAGG
rnacentral:rRNA from 1 species